rnacentral:rRNA from 1 species
AUUGAACGCUGGCGGAAUGCUUUACACAUGCAAGUCGAACGGCAGCACGGACUUCGGUCUGGUGGCGAGUGGCGAACGGGUGAGUAAUGUAUCGGAACGUGCCCAGUCGUGGGGGACAACGUAGUGAAGAUUACGCUAAUACCGCAUACGAUCUAUGGAUGAAAGGGGGGGAUCGCAAGACCUCGCGCGAUUGGAGCGGCCGAGAUCAGAUUAGGUAGUUGGUGGGGUAAAGGCCCACCAAGCCAACGAACUGUAGCUGGUCUGAGAGGACGACCAGCCACACUGGAACUGAGACGCGGUCCAGACUCCUACGGGAGGCAGCAGUGUGGAAUUUUGGACAAUGGGCGAAAGCCUGAUCCAGCCAUUCCGCGUGCAGGAUGAAGGCCCUCGGGUUGUAAACUGCUUUUGUACAGAACGAAAAGGUUUCUACUAAUACUAGGAGCUCAUGACGGUACUGUAAGAAUAAGCACCGGCUAACUACGUGCCAGCAGCCGCGGUAA